GUGAGGCGAGGCUGGGAGGGUGUGUGGCGCGGGUGCUGUGGGGCUGUCGGGGUGCCUGCAGGAGGCUCACCUGGCUGGCCCGCCCAG
rnacentral:miRNA from 1 species